rnacentral:rRNA from 1 species
UACGUAGGGUGCAAGCGUUAAUCGGAAUUACUGGGCGUAAAGCGUGCGCAGGCGGUGAUGUAAGACAGAUGUGAAAUCCCCGGGCUCAACCUGGGAACUGCAUUUGUGACUGCAUCGCUGGAGUGCGGCAGAGGGGGAUGGAAUUCCGCGUGUAGCAGUGAAAUGCGUAGAUAUGCGGAGGAACACCAGUGGUGCAAACGGCGCCCUGGGUCCGAACUGACGCUGAGGCACGAAAGCGUGGGGAGCGAACAGG